ACAUUCUCAGCACUAACUACUUUAAAGAGUCAAGUGAAUUUGAGCAGCAUUUGGAUACCUAUAUGUAUUGUAAACUGUAUCACAACAGACGGCCCAGCAUUUGGAGCAGUCAGGAUGAUAUAUUGUUUGUUUACCGAGCAAUGGAGUCCUUCAUAGCAAGUGAUGGGAGUCAUAGUGGCAGCAGUAGUGACAUGGCUGGCCUCAAUGACCCAAUCAUUGCCAUGCCCCCUGUCACUACCAUUACACCAAUAGCACCGAUAGCACCUAAAGCCCCUCCCUCACCCCUCCCUAUAACAUCCCCCCCAGCUACCCCAUCAGCCCCUCCUUUACCCACAGUUAGUACACCUCCCAGUACCUGUGCAAAUGGUCAGGUGCCCUCCAAUGGACAUGCAACAUUAACAGGUAAUGGCACCAUCAGAGUCCCACCUGAGGGUAUGGAGGACACACCACAAGCAGCAGACAUCCCUCCAGUUUGAGUGAUUUUUGAUCUAUUUUAUUCAGUUGUGACAAAGACAUUAUUUCUAAUUUUAAGUGGUGCACUCUUAUGAGAUAAUAUAUGGAACUACUGCCAGGUUCUCAUGCAUACAGCACACUGUAAAUAUCAAAGAAAACAAUGAGAUUACUGUUAUACUGACAACCAUACAUAAACAUAAAAAUAGAAAAUUUAUGAUUUUAAAUUGAGAGUGAAAGUUAAUGGUAAUACUGAGGUGAAGUGAAAAGUGAAAUAUGUUGUUAUAAUUGUGUGCAUUAUCGUCACUGAACCUUAUGUAAUGUAAAUGUGAAAAUGCAGAACUAUUGUUAAAAGAUACUGACUUCACACUGAAAACACAUCAAUGCAUUUAAUGUAUUUUCAUAAAAGACAUUGUUAGGUGUAAGUGAUGCAUUCGUCCUGGAAAUGAUAAGCAGUAAAAAUCUGAUAGGUGCGCUGCCCCCACAAACCAGUGGUUAACGUAGCCAGUUUGUGUGAAAGGAACUUUGUGUCCUACUGCUGCUGUUGCCACUAGCCUAUGUUAAAUGCUUAAGGGCAACUCUGUGCUGCUUUCCCAGACAACUGCUUUAUGUACAGUGUAUAGCUAGUUUUCUAAAUGAGGGGGUCCCAUAGUGAGUCUACCCUAUUGUGUACAGAAUAAUUUUCGUAAUUUGUCUGUGGUGUCUUUCAUUUCUUAUACAGUAAUGGUACUUCUUUACAUGCUGCUUUAUAGCUUACAUUUUCUACAUGAUUAAUGAGAGAAUGAAUAGAAGGAUGAUGUUCCCAUGUGUAAAAGACAUCUAGUCUUAGGUAUUGUAAUUUAGAGUAGAGAUAUUUUGGUAUGGAGGUGCAUUUGCCUUGAUUCCAUAGUGCUCCUGAAAACAUAUUUUCUCACCAACAUUUUUUUCAUCUUAUGACUGAAUGUUCAUAUGAAUUGUAAUUUUUUUAUGAGAAGUAGUGCAUGAGCAAGGCUUCCUGUUUCAUUGUGCAUUAAGUCUUGCACAAAAAAUAGUCGUAACUAGUGGACUGGACAUUCAGACAAUACAGUAUACAAAUUGUGACCAAAGGCACAAGAUUUAACCACUGAAACUGAACACAUUUCAUCAUAGUAAAAAAAAGGGUCUUGGGUUUAAUGUACAAAUUUGUUUGAUUCAGCAUUGGAUGAAGCACCCCAUUACCAUUUUAACAUCCCGUUUCAGAAAAUAAAAAUCGUCUCGGUAUUUUCUUGCAUUCAUGGUGGUUUAUUUAAAAAGUUUGAAAUAUAGAAAAGAUUACUUUGUACAGUAGUUGUGGUUGUCAUAGGUAGUUAAGAGAUAAACUAACCUUUGAUUUUUGAGAGCUGUUGAUAUUAUGAUGUAUUGUCUUCUGAGUCCACAAGUUAUAUCACGAUGCCUUCAGGUUACCUACUAAUAGUUCAAGUCUGGCAUGUCUCCUUGACUGUAUACUGUGACAAGCCGCUGCACUCCUGUGGCAUCAUUUUGAAUGAUUCCAGCAUUUACACUUGCUUCCAGUACAGUAACAGGCUGCAAAAUUUUCAUUACAAUCACAUAAAUUGUGCUCAUAUCAGAUAAAUGGAAAAUUAUAUACUUCUACGGUUGUGUUGCAUUUAUAUCCUGUUAAACUUACCUUAGUUUGUGGCUGUACAAGAAAGCACAACUUUGCAUACUGUUCAUCUUAAAUAUUUUAAUGGUAUUUUCUAGUUUAUGUGGAAUGUGUAACAGUUAUGUUAUAGAGAUAUAAUUUAUGCUUUACAUCGCAAAGCAAGUAAUAUUUAUUUCAAGUUGGGUAAAGUGAUGCUGUUUUGCUUGGGUAUAAUACAGCAUUUUGAAAUCCAUGAAUACUGAGUACAAACCAAGUUUUGUUUUUAAUUUUAUUUGUUUUUGUUUGUAGACUUACAAAAUGUGUUAUACAGUACUGCCAGUCCUCUUAGUCAAACACUUUUAAUAAAUUCAGUAUAUUCAUGUAUAUAUGGCCAUCAAUCUCAUUGAAAUGAAUUUCAUUUGGGUAGUUAGCAUAAAACACUUUUUAAGUUGAAUACCUACAAUGAUAAUUUUCCAAGGAGCACACACAGUUAUAAGAUUACAGUGUUACUGUAGGUACUGUAUAGUAAACCAGUGAGAACAGUAAAUAUUUUGUAUGAGGUAAGACUAGUUUAGUGAGGAUUGGUGGUGUAUUGCAGGACAGUGUUAAAAAUGACCUCAGGAUCUCACAUUUCCAAUAAUUCACCAACCAACUAAGCUGCAAUUGCCAGCAUUGAAAACAACUUCGUUUGAAGGUCAGUCUGUUGCGCAUUUAGCCACUUCACACAUAUAGUAAGGGACUCGUAGAUAGUGGUUGAACAUACUUGACAGUGUUUCAUGAGCAAAAGAUAGUAAUUUCAAUCUUGUGGGCAAUACAGUAUCUGAAUUCAUUUUAGUUGUUUACUGGUGGAAUGUUUACCAGGAUAAUUCUGAUUGCAUAAUUGAGUGUCAGUGAAACCUGUUGCCAGUUUGCCUUUAUUAAUAAUUUUGUCAAUAUUGAUGACAUUCCCACCAGUGUCUGGUGCAGUGACAAUAUACAACCCAUAAGCAGCAGCUGCCAAUAGAUGAAGCUUAAUAUUCUAGAAUUCCAAUGCAUUACUUUCAUUGUUUCAUUUGUUUUUCUUGGAGCAUUUAAUUUGCAGGUAAACUCCAAAUUGAUAUUAUCAUCAUCAUAGUAUUCAUUCAUCACCAAAAUAGUUUAGUAUCUUUUAUCUGGCCUCUGAUGAUGCAUGCCCAAGACUGCUGUGGAGAACCAAUUAUCUGUUGCCGGGUCAUCAGCAGCAUGUUACAAUAUUACUACACAUGUCUUGGGUCAUGUUACAAACUUUUUUUAAUUAUUGCCCUUCCAAAGAAUAAUGGUAUGUAAAAAUCAUUUUUUGUAUGUAAAUAUUUGUACAGGUAGAAUUUGUUAGAACUGUGUACCUCAUGGCUUAAUAAGUCUGUCUAUAGGCUGUGUGUGCAGAAACUUCAGUAUAUUUAUGCAUUUAAGUUGACUUGGAAAACAUGAGUCAUGAAUCCAUCAUUAGAUUCUUCUGUAUACAGUACAGUCUGCACCAGAGCCAGGUCAUGAAAGAUUACUUAUGUGAUUUAGAUCAUAGCUUACUGUUCCUACUGUGUGUGUCUCGAGUAAACUGCCGGUGGCUGCUUUAGAUGGCCAGCACAGCUUACUCUGCCAGUCAUUAUAUUGGAUAUAAAGGAGUUAAUAAAAAGACCAAUAAAGUGAGUGUAA